rnacentral:rRNA from 1 species
AAGAAAGUAAGAAAGGGCGUAUGGCGGAUGCCUAGGCUCACGGAGGCGAUGAAGGACGUGAUAAGCUGCGAUAAGCUUCGGGUAGGUGCAAAUAACCUUUGAUCCGAAGAUUUCCGAAUGGGACAACCUAGCCGUCUGAAGGACGGUUACUAGCACUUAAGUGUUAGAGCUAACGCAGGGAACUGAAACAUCUUAGUACCUGCAGGAAGAGAAAAUAAAU